rnacentral:rRNA from 1 species
GGGUUGUGAGGUUAAGCGACUAAGCGUACACGGUGGAUGCCCUGGCAGUCAGAGGCGAUGAAGGACGUGCUAAUCUGCGAUAAGCGUCGGUGAGGUGAUAUGAACCGUUAUAACCGGCGAUUUCCGAAUGGGGAAACCCAGUGUGUUUCGACACACUAUCAUUAACUGAAUCCAUAGGUUAAUGAGGCGAACCGGGGGAACUGAAACAUCUAAGUACCCCGAGGAAAAGAAAUCAACCGAGAUUCCCCCAGUAGCGGCGAGCGAACGGGGAGGAGCCCAGAGCCUGAAUCAGUGUGUGUGUUAGUGGAAGCGUCUGGAAAGGCGUGCGAUACAGGGUGACAGCCCCGUACACAAAAAUGCACAUAUUGUGAGCUCGAUGAGUAGGGCGGGACACGUGGUAUCCUGUCUGAAUAUGGGGGGACCAUCCUCCAAGGCUAAAUACUCCUGACUGACCGAUAGUGAACCAGUACCGUGAGGGAAAGGCGAAAAGAACCCCGGCGAGGGGAGUGAAAAAGAACCUGAAACCGUGUACGUACAAGCAGUGGGAGCCUCUUAAUGGGGUGACUGCGUACCUUUUGUAUAAUGGGUCAGCGACUUAUAUUCUGUAGCAAGGUUAACCGAAUAGGGGAGCCGAAGGGAAACCGAGUCUUAACUGGGCGUUAAGUUGCAGGGUAUAGACCCGAAACCCGGUGAUCUAGCCAUGGGCAGGUUGAAGGUUGGGUAACACUAACUGGAGGACCGAACCGACUAAUGUUGAAAAAUUAGCGGAUGACUUGUGGCUGGGGGUGAAAGGCCAAUCAAACCGGGAGAUAGCUGGUUCUCCCCGAAAGCUAUUUAGGUAGCGCCUCGUGAAUUCAUCUCCGGGGGUAGAGCACUGUUUCGGCAAGGGGGUCAUCCCGACUUACCAACCCGAUGCAAACUGCGAAUACCGGAGAAUGUUAUCACGGGAGACACACGGCGGGUGCUAACGUCCGUCGUGAAGAGGGAAACAACCCAGACCGCCAGCUAAGGUCCCAAAGUCAUGGUUAAGUGGGAAACGAUGUGGGAAGGCCCAGACAGCCAGGAUGUUGGCUUAGAAGCAGCCAUCAUUUAAAGAAAGCGUAAUAGCUCACUGGUCGAGUCGGCCUGCGCGGAAGAUGUAACGGGGCUAAACCAUGCACCGAAGCUGCGGCAGCGACACUAUGUGUUGUUGGGUAGGGGAGCGUUCUGUAAGCCUGUGAAGGUGGCCUGUGAGGGUUGCUGGAGGUAUCAGAAGUGCGAAUGCUGACAUAAGUAACGAUAAAGCGGGUGAAAAGCCCGCUCGCCGGAAGACCAAGGGUUCCUGUCCAACGUUAAUCGGGGCAGGGUGAGUCGACCCCUAAGGCGAGGCCGAAAGGCGUAGUCGAUGGGAAACAGGUUAAUAUUCCUGUACUUGGUGUUACUGCGAAGGGGGGACGGAGAAGGCUAUGUUGGCCGGGCGACGGUUGUCCCGGUUUAAGCGUGUAGGCUGGUUUUCCAGGCAAAUCCGGAAAACCAAGGCUGAGGCGUGAUGACGAGGCACUACGGUGCUGAAGCGACAAAUGCCCUGCUUCCAGGAAAAGCCUCUAAGCAUCAGGUAACAUCAAAUCGUACCC